GACGAACGCUGGCGGCGUGCCUAAUACAUGCAAGUAGAACGCACAGUUUAUACCGUAGCUUGCUACACCAUAAACUGUGAGUUGCGAACGGGUGAGUAACGCGUAGGUAACCUGCCUGGUAGCGGGGGAUAACUAUUGGAAACGAUAGCUAAUACCGCAUAAUAUUGAUUAUUGCAUGAUAAUUGAUUGAAAGAUGCUAUUGCAUCACUACCAGAUGGACCUGCGUUGUAUUAGCUAGUAGGUGAGGUAACGGCUCACCUAGGCGACGAUACAUAGCCGACCUGAGAGGGUGAUCGGCCACACUGGGACUGAGACACGGCCCAUACUCCUACGGGAGGCAGCAGUAGGGAAUCUUCGGCAAUGGACGAAAGUCUGACCGAGCAACGCCGCGGGAGUGAAGAAGGUUUUCGGAUCGUAAAGCUCUGUUGUAAGAGAAGAACGGGUGUGAGAGUGGAAAGUUCACACUGUGACGGUAUCUUACCAGAAAGGGACGGCUAACUACGUG
rnacentral:rRNA from 1 species